rnacentral:rRNA from 1 species
CUCCUAUCUACUAUCUAGCGAAACCACUGCCAAGGGAACGGGCUUGGAAGAAUUAGCGGGGAAAGAAGACCCUGUUGAGCUUGACUCUAGUUUGGCAAUGUGAGGAGACAUGAGAGGUGCAGAAUAAGUGGGAGGUCGUUCUGCGGGCCGCCAGUGAGAUACCACUACUUUCAUUGUUUCCUCACUUACUCGGUUAGGCGGAGCGCGUGCGCGCGACUCGUUCGCCGCGCACGGUGUUCUCGCGCUAAGGGGGUCCCGUGGCCGGUGCGUUGGGCGCGCGGUGUGUCGUUCGCGGCCGCCGCCGCCUGCGCUCGGUCCUCUCCCGAUCCGAUCCGAGGACACUGCCAGGCGGGGAGUUUGACUGGGGCGGUACAUCUGUCAAAUAAUAACGCAGGUGUCCUAAGGCCAGCUCAGCGAGGACAGAAACCUCGCGUAGAGCAAAAGGGCAAAUGCUGGCUUGAUCCCGAUGUUCAGUACGCAUAGGGACUGCGAAAGCACGGCCUAUCGAUCCUUUUGGUUUGGAGAGUUUCCAGCAAGAGGUGUCAGAAAAGUUACCACAGGGAUAAC